rnacentral:piRNA from 1 species
UAGCAAGGACACAGAGAUGUUCCACAGCA